GAUGAACGCUAGCGGCAGGCCUAACACAUGCAAGUCGAGGGGCAGCACGGACUAGCAAUAGUUGGUGGCGACCGGCGCACGGGUGCGUAACACGUAUGCAACCUUCCCAUAAGCGGGGGAUAACCCGGAGAAAUUCGGACUAAUACCGCAUAACAUAUAAUAGUGGCAUCACUAUUAUCUUAAAGAUUUAUCACUUAUGGAUGGGCAUGCGCAUGAUUAGCUAGUUGGUAGGGUAAUGGCUUACCAAGGCAACGAUCAUUAGGGGUUCUGAGAGGAAGGUCCCCCACACUGGUACUGAGACACGGACCAGACUCCUACGGGAGGCAGCAGUGAGGAAUAUUGGUCAAUGGGCGAGAGCCUGAACCAGCCAAGUCGCGUGAAGGAAGACUGUCCUAUGGAUUGUAAACUUCUUUUAUACAGGAAUAAAGUGGGUUACGUGUAACCUUUUGCAUGUACUGUAUGAAUAAGGAUCGGCUAACUCCGUG
rnacentral:rRNA from 1 species